rnacentral:tRNA from 1 species
GGUUUCAUGGUGUAAUGGUGAGCACUCUGGACUCUGAAUGCAGGGAUCCCAGUUCAAGUGUUGGUGGAACCU